AGCGGAAGAAAAGUAGACUUGAGGGGAGGCCGGGAAGGGGAAGGAGAGGCCCGGGGAACGGGGCGGGCAUGAGUUGGUUUGUUCCAGUUGUCAGGGCAGCCCGAGACGUCGGAGGUCCAGGGUUGAAGCCGAGUUGAAGUCACGUGCUUUUCUCCGCCGGGCCUGUUAAAGGUUGCUGUCCAUAUAAGUAAUGAGAAGCAGAGCCUGACCCUUUAGGAAUUCCCACAUGCGCACAAAGCUGCACAAAGCUUCAAGGUGAGGACUACAAUGACCCUCCUAGGGUGACGAUGAUGACCACCACCACCAUCUUGGACCUACUGAGCAUGCACCAAUGAUGCAACCUGGAAGAACAGAAUGGACCACCUCCAGUGAUGCUGACCUGUACCCCUUAACUCCUUUCCCUAUAAAAGACCCUGAACAGCUUCCCUCGGUGGGCUAGCUUUACUGUAGCUACCCCACCUUAUGCAU